rfam:Schistosoma mansoni, Puerto Rico, WGS project CABG01000000 data, contig: 0077
AUCUAGCUGAUGAGUCCCAUAUGGGACGACAUGCGCGUCCUGGAU